rnacentral:rRNA from 1 species
CCUACGGGGGGCUGCAGUGGGGAAUAUUGGACAAUGGGGGGAACCCUGAUCCAGCCAUGCCGCGUGUGUGAAGAAGGCCCUCGGGUUGUAAAGCACUUUCAGUGAGGAAGAACGCCUGGUGGUUAAUACCCAUCAGGAAAGACAUCACUCACAGAAGAAGCACCGGCUAACUCCGUGCCAGCAGCCGCGGUAAUACGGAGGGUGCGAGCGUUAAUCGGAAUUACUGGGCGUAAAGCGCGCGUAGGUGGCUUGAUAAGCCGGUUGUGAAAGCCCCGGGCUCAACCUGGGAACGGCAUCCGGAACUGUCAAGCUAGAGUGCAGGAGAGGAAGGUAGAAUUCCCGGUGUAGCGGUGAAAUGCGUAGAGAUCGGGAGGAAUACCAGUGGCGAAGGCGGCCUUCUGGACUGACACUGACACUGAGGUGCGAAAGCGUGAGUAGCAAACAGGAUUAGAUACCCUUGUAGUC